GCGGAGCCGUAGCGCAGAGGUCGUCGCACCGGUCUCCAAAACCGGGACACGCUGGUUCGAAUCCAGCCGCUCCGCC
rnacentral:tRNA from 1 species